UACUAAGUUUUUGCCCUUCUGAUUGAUUUUUCAUAGUUCCAGAAAUCCCCCUACAAAAUUCUCUAAGCAGAAACCAAUGGCUGUCUAAGUGGUGGAAACUGAGAGAGGUGGAGUUAUCAACUUGCUUUCAUUACACAACAUUCCUGAUAAUCUUAGCGAAAUUGGUGUGGAGUAUGUUGAGGUAGGGAUUUAGCAUUUUGAUAUCUGGCUUAUUUGGUAAUACAACCACAAGACAAGGAAAGUCAG